rnacentral:lncRNA from 1 species
AUUUGCUAGUUACGACAACAACAGUGAGGGACAAAAUCUUUAACACAACAGUUCUACUUUAUUGUCUCAUGUAGAUGUUGGGAGUACAUUUCCACCACAAGUCUGUUACUCAGCAGCACAAACCAACAGAGGAAUGACAGACUGCCAAUAAAGAUUUCUGAAAGCACUGAUUUAUGCAUGGAUUUCUGGGUCCUGUCCUCUCGCUUUUCUCCAUAGUCCUCCUCCUCCAAAUCAAUUCCAUGCAGGCCUGUAUUGACUCAGGUAAAGGGGUUGUAAUCCAGCAGUCAAUGUCUGUGUCUCUGUGUCUGCAGUAGGGGCCAGCGAGAGACUGGGGGAGAGAUGGGAGGAGACAGGGAGAGAUGGGGGAGACGCACCGGGAGCAGAGAUCACUAAUGAGCCCCGGGGCUGUGGAGUCCAGGGGGGGGAUAUGUGUGUGGAGGGGAGUAUAAUGUAUACAGACGAGGAGGCAUAGAAAGGUAUUGGUAUGUUAUGCAGAUCACAUUUACCAUCCUCCUCCCUUACCUCUUCAAUAAAAAUCACAUAGGCCUCUACAUUAUGGACAAGACUUCACCCUCCCUACACCUCUGAUUAAUAUAACAGGAAACCUGUUUGAUCACCAUGCACUGCAAAAUCAUUCUGGCUAUGGAUACGGAGAACAUCAACACAUUAACAUCAACACGUCAGAGGAUAAACAGAUUGGACUUGGGGCUCUGCUGGGAGUUUACCUCAUACUUAGAUUUUCUAUUCUGCUUUGCCACUAAAAUCAUAAUAAACACUGACAACUAAAAUAUUGUGUUAUUGUUAUGCGUAUUAUAAAGAAUAAUAUUAAUAGGGGAAGGGGGGUGGUUCAAAAAAUGUGUCAGUGUUUGCUCAGCACAAGCAACUCCUUAGACCUAUAUCUCAAACCUGGCCAUUAUAAUUUGUUGAUUUUUGCCAUAGGUGACAACGUAGCCUAGUGGUUAGAGCGUUGGACUUGUAACUGAAAGGUUGCAAGUUUGAAUCCCCAAGUUGACAAGGUACAAAUCUGCCGUUCUGCCCCUGAACAAGGCAGUUAACCCACUGUUCCUAGGCCGUCAUUGGACUUGGAGCUCUCCCGGGACUUUUC